rnacentral:rRNA from 1 species
AGAUUGAACGCUGGCGGCAUGCCUUACACAUGCAAGUCGAACGGCAGCGCGGGGCAACCUGGCGGCGAGUGGCGAACGGGUGAGUAAUAUAUCGGAACGUACCCUGGAGUGGGGGAUAACGUAGCGAAAGUUACGCUAAUACCGCAUACGAUCUAAGGAUGAAAGUGGGGGAUCGCAAGACCUCAUGCUCCUGGAGCGGCCGAUAUCUGAUUAGCUAGUUGGUAGGGUAAAGGCCUACCAAGGCAUCGAUCAGUAGCUGGUCUGAGAGGACGACCAGCCACACUGGAACUGAGACACGGUCCAGACUCCUACGGGAGGCAGCAGUGGGGAAUUUUGGACAAUGGGCGCAAGCCUGAUCCAGCAAUGCCGCGUGAGUGAAGAAGGCCUUCGGGUUGUAAACCGCUUUCAGCAGGGACGAAAUUGACGGUACCUGCAGAAGAAGCCCGGCCAACUACGUGCCAGCAGCCGCGGU